AACGAACGCUGGUGGCGUGCCUCAUACAUGCAAGUCGAGCGAGGUUUCGAGUCGAGCGGCGUACGGGUGAGUAUCGCGUGAGUAACCUACCCUAUAGUUGGGAAUAACCCCCCUAACGGGGGACUAAUACCGAAUAUUGAGUGGCACUGCAUAGUGCUUAGUCGAAAGGGCGCAAGCCCGCUAAAGGAUGGACUCGCGUCUGAUUAGCUAGUUGGAGGGGUAACGGCCCACCAAGGCGAUGAUCAGUAGCCGACCUGAGAGGGUGAUCGGCCACAAUGGGACUGAGACACGGCCCAUACUCCUACGGGAGGCAGCAGUGGGGAAUAUUGCACAAUGGGCGAAAGCCUGAUGCAGCAACGCCGCGUGAGCGAAGAAGGCCUUUGGGUCGUAAAGCUCUGUCGGGUAGGAAGAUAAUGACGGUACUAACCCGAGGAAGCCCCGGCUAACUACGUG
rnacentral:rRNA from 1 species